CUCUAUGGCAACGGUCAUAUGAGAAAAUUUAGCUAUUGCGACGGUUUCGUUUCCCCCAAUAUUUCCCUCCACUUAAUUUACUAAAAAAUUAAAAGUACCUGAGUGUAUAUGUAAAACUUGGAACAUAUUGAAAUUUUAAUCUUCUCUACCAAGGGUUUUCUUUGGCAAAGCACUAGUUUCUUCUCAGUCGAAGCUUCUCUGGUGAAGAUUCUUCUCCGGUGAAGGCGUCUCCUCCAGCGAAGGCGUCUCAUCCGGCAAUAUCUUCUGCUCCGGUGAAAUCGAUCUUUUCCUCCGGCGAAUUAGUCUUCUUGCUCUUUGCAUCUACAGGAUAUUCAAUGGAUACUAGAGAUAAAAGUUGGAUGGAUCUCCGAAGAUCCACCAAUGAGUAUGAUCGUGGAGUGAAUGAUUUUCUUGAUAAGGCAUUUGAACGAACUUCUCAAGGAAAUGAAACAUUUUGCCCUUGUAAAAGAUUCUUUAAUCGGUAUUGGCAUAAAUGAAAGGUGGUGGAGGAUCACUUGUUUUGUUAUGGAUUUGUUCAUGGAUACACCAAAUGGGUUUUUUCAUUGAGAAGGGUUUUCCUCAAGAAAUACACCGCAUCCAACCAAUGAUGAUGAACUUCGGACAUGCAUGACGAUAUCAAUGGACUACUUCAUGAUACUUUUAGGAAUGUAGAAGGUGACCUAAGGCAUGAAGGAGUGAGAGAGGGACCAUCUGAAGAUGCAACGAGAUUUUUUAAAUUAGUGGAGAUGGAAACAAGAGUUGAGUAAUGUAGCCUUUUCAGACUUGUUAGACUUGAUAAAAGAGGCAUUUCCAUUUGCUCAGCUACUUAAGUCUUUCAACAAGGAAAAAAAGGUGAUAAAUGAUUUAAGUCUUUGUUAUGAGAAAAUUCAUGCAUGCCCUAACGACUGCAUGCUAUUUUGGAAUGCCAAUGUGAAGAUAGAUAAUUGCUCUGUGUGUGGUUCUUCUAAAUGGAAGAAUGUUCGUGAUGAUUUGACUAAUAAGAACACUAAAAUCCCAGCAAAGGUUUUAAGGUACUUCCCUUUAAAGCCUAGGCUUCAGAGGAUAUUUAUGUUUCUGAAACAUCUGUAGCUAUGAGACGACAUGCUACUGGAAUACCCAAUGAUGGGAAUUCAAGACAUCCUGCUGAUGGGGAAGCUUGGAAGGAUUUUGAUUCCUUGCACCUAGACUUCUCUAAAGAUCCUCGUAAUGUUAGAUUGGGUCUUUCAAGAGAUGGUUUCAAUCCAUUUCGAACCAUGAGCAUUUCCCACAGUACAUGGCCAUUUAUGUUAAUGAUCUAUAAGUUGCUACCAUGGAUUUGCAUGACACCGGUGUAUAUAAUGUUGUCAACUAUCAUUCCAGGUCUAUUGUCACCUGGAAAAGAUAUGAUGUGUACCAACAACCACUAAUCGUUGAGUUGAAGGAACUAUGGGAAAUGGGAGUGGAGACAUAUGAUGCUGAAACGAAUCAAACAUUUCAAACGCAUUCAGCUUUAUUGUGGACAGUUAGUGAUUUUCCAGCACUAGCAAUGCUUUCCGGAUGGAGCACCAAGGGGAGAUGCGCAUGCCCAACUUGUAAUUAUGAUACUUGCUCUCAAUAUCUCAAACAUAGUCGUAAGAUGUGUUACUUGGGUUAUCGAGCAUUGUACCUCCUGAUCAUCCAUUUUGAAGAGAUAAGAAAUCAUUUGAUGGUAAAGAGGAGCAUAAAGUUUCACCUACUCCCUUAUCAGGCAUAAAAGUGCUUAAAGAGCUACGUGAAUUCAAUAAUGUCUUUGGGAAGGGCCAAAAGAAAAGGUUUCGGAAGAAUGAUGGUCCAUGGAGAGAAGAUCCAUAUUUUUUGAAUUGCCAUAUUGGGCACAUAACAAAUUGAGGUACAAUUGUCUGCUUGGGACUUUGUUGGAUGUACCUGGAAAGUCCACAGAUCAUGUAAAUUGUCGCUAUGAUUUGCAUGAGAUGAGGAUACGCAAGGAGCUUCAACCAUUAAAAGAUGAUAAUAAUGGUAAAGUUCAUCUGGCUAAAGCUUGUUUCUCCAUGAAACCAGAGGAGAAAAAGUUGUUUUGCACUGUUUUAAAAAUGUCAAAUUACCAAAAGGGUGUGCCUCUAAUAUAUCACGUCGUGCGCAAAUGGAGGAGAUGAAAGGAUCAGGAUAUAAGAACCACGAUGCUCAUUUCAUAAUGCAUUACUUACUCCAGGUUGCGGCUAGAAAAGUGUUACCCAAGAAUGUGUCUUUCGCUUUGAUUAGGUUGGGGAAUUAUUUUAGAACCAUAUGUAGCAAGGUUAUAAGAAGAAGAGGUCUUGAUAAAAUAAAGACUGAAAUCAUAGACAUAGUAUGUGACCUUGAAAGGAUAUUUCCUCCAAGCUUUUUGAUAUAAUGGCGCAUUUGCCCAUCCAUUUAGUAGAUGAAAUUAAGCUUGGGGGUCGGGUUCAUUUGCGUUUGGAUGUGUCCCAAUGAGAGAAACAUGUGUAAGUACAAGGGGUUUGUUUGUAAUCGAUCUAAUCCAGAAAGAUCAAUAGCGGAGGUUUUGUUUGGCCAAAAAGUUUUUGACCUUUUGUUUGAGAUACCUACAUAACGGGGUGAAGAAAAGAUUUAGUAGGUAUUAGACCGAGGAUGAUGAGGUUCAAACAAGGGAGAUAAUUUUUCACAUAUAUUUCCUAAGACAGGCCAUCCAAUUGGAAGUACGAAAAAAAGGAAAGGCAAGACUUUUGACAUGGAUAGUCAUCACUUGUUUGAAGCACAUUGAAAAUGUCUGAAACAAAUACUGAGAAUCGGAAGAAGUUGAUGAAUCCGCACACAACAGGCCGAAAAAGUUUUGCUUUAGUCCGCAAUAAAUUGGCGUGUUCUCUUAUUUUUUCUUAAGUCUUAACCUAUCAUUCUAAGCGAUUUUUUUAUAUCCAUUUUCAUGUGACUAGGAAAAAAACCAAGGGAAAUGUAUCACUUAAGGAGCUCUUUGUGGAAACAAGAGCAAGGAUACCCGGGCGCUCAUACAAGGAGUCAAAUGAAAACACAACUAGUAAAAUUGCUGAAAUGGAGGAAAUUGAAACACAAAUGCGUGCAGAUGGUAGUCAGCCCGUUGAUGUGUAUUCAGCCGUUACGGGUCCAGAACAUCCGGGACAUCUAAGACUAGAUGGACGGGGGGUUACAAAGACUUCUUUGAAAGGAAAAGAUGGAAAUUUUGAACCAACUUCAAAUGCCGCAAAUGAUGUAGUGCAACAAAUGCAAGAAAAGAUCCAAAAAUGGAGGAACAAAAGAGAACUAUGCGAGCAGAAGUUACUGCACACGUAAUUGCACAACUCUAACGUGCAAGAUUAAUUAGUCUAGACAUGCUAGCAGCAAUGUGUGUUCCUUCACCGGGAGAAGUUACGUCUACACCACAAGUAAUUAAUCAGAUUACUCGUCGGCUAUCUACAGAUAACAACAAUUAGUGUCACUUCUUCUCUGUUGCGACCCUUUUUUCUCUCUCUUCUUAGUUUCUAUGUUGCCUCUUUUCUCUUGCUCUUUUUUUCUGAUUCUUUUUCUACUUUGGACCAUGGUUUUAGAUAGUGCACUGUUAAUACCCGAGUUUGCUCUUCAGUUAUGACCAACUUACUACCUUUUGUA